CAGUAGCCACGGUAAUACGGAGGGUGCAAGCGUUAAUCGGAAUUACUGGGCGUAAAGCGCACGCAGGCGGUCUGACAAGUCAGAUGUGAAAUCCCCGGGCUUAACCUGGGAACUGCAUUUGAAACUGUCAGGCUGGAGUCUUGUAGAGGGGGGUGGAAUUCCAGGUGUAGCGGUGAAAUGCGUAGAGAUCUGGAGGAAUACCGGUGGCGAAGGCGGCCCCCUGGACAAAGACUGACGCUUAGGUGCGAAAGCGUGGGGAGCAAACAGGAUUAGAUACCCCUGUAGUCCCUGUCUCUUAUAC
rnacentral:rRNA from 1 species